CAGGGACGCCGCAGAAUACGGCGUCGAUAGGCCGCAGGUGCAAGGACGGAGACGUCUUCAGCCGAGCGGUACUAAUUGCCCGAAAGCUUUCUUUGG
rnacentral:rRNA from 1 species